CAAUAUAUGAGACCGGCGCACGGGUGCGUAACGCGUAUGCAACCUACCUUUUACAGGGGAAUAGCCCAGAGAAAUUUGGAUUAAUGCCCCAUGGUGUAUUGAGAUGGCAUCAUCAUAAUACUAAAGUUCCAACGGUAAAAGAUGGGCAUGCGUCCUAUUAGCUAGAUGGUAAGGUAACGGCUUACCAUGGCAACGAUAGGUAGGGGUCCUGAGAGGGAGAUCCCCCACACUGGUACUGAGACACGGACCAGACUCCUACGGGAGGCAGCAGUGAGGAAUAUUGGACAAUGGGCGCAAGCCUGAUCCAGCCAUGCCGCGUGCAGGAAGACGGUCCUAUGGAUUGUAAACUGCUUUUGUACGGGAAGAAACACUCCUACGUGUAGGAGCUUGACGGUACCGUAAGAAUAAGGAUCGGCUAACUCCGUGCCAGCAGCCGCGGUAAUACGGAGGAUCCAAGCGUUAUCCGGAAUCAUUGGGUUUAAAGGGUCCGUAGGCGGUUUGAUAAGUCAGUGGUGAAAGCCCAUCGCUCAACGAUGGAACGGCCAUUGAUACUGUCAGACUUGAAUUGUUGGGAAGUAACUAGAAUAUGUAGUGUAGCGGUGAAAUGCUUAGAUAUUACAUGGAAUACCAAUUGCGAAGGCAGGUUACUACUAAUGGAUUGACGCUGAUGGACGAAAGCGUGGGUAGCGAACAGGA
rnacentral:rRNA from 1 species